GACAGAGGGUGCAAACGUUGCUCGGAAUUACUGGGCGUAAAGGGCGUGUAGGCGGGAAGGUAAGUCGGGCGUGAAAUCCCCAAGCUCAACUUGGGAACUGCACUCGAAACUACUUUUCUUGAGUGCCGGAGAGGAAAGCGGAAUUCCUGGUGUAGAGGUGAAAUUCGUAGAUAUCAGGAGGAACACCAGUGGCGAAGGCGGCUUUCUGGACGGUGACUGACGCUGAGACGCGAAAGCGUGGGGAGCAAACAGG
rnacentral:rRNA from 1 species